rnacentral:rRNA from 1 species
AGAGUUUGAUCCUGGCUCAGAUUGAACGCUGGCGGCAUGCCUUACACAUGCAAGUCGAACGGCAGCACGGGAGCAAUCCUGGUGGCGAGUGGCGAACGGGUGAGUAAUAUAUCGGAACGUGCCCAGUCGUGGGGGAUAACGCAGCGAAAGCUGUGCUAAUACCGCAUACGAUCUCUGGAUGAAAGCGGGGGACUCGCAAGGGCCUCGCGCGAUUGGAGCGGCCGAUAUCAGAUUAGCUAGUUGGUGGGGUAAAAGCCCACCAAGGCGACGAUCUGUAGCUGGUCUGAGAGGACGACCAGCCACACUGGAACUGAGACACGGUCCAGACUCCUACGGGAGGCAGCAGUGGGGAAUUUUGGACAAUGGGCGCAAGCCUGAUCCAGCAAUGCCGCGUGCAGGAUGAAGGCCUUCGGGUUGUAAACUGCUUUUGUACGGAGCGAAACGGCGAGCUCUAAUAAAGCUUGCUAAUGACGGUACCGUAAGAAUAAGCACCGGCUAACUACGUGCCAGCAGCCGCGGUAAUACGUAGGGUGCAAGCGUUAAUCGGAAUUACUGGGCGUAAAGCGUGCGCAGGCGGUUAUAUAAGACAGAUGUGAAAUCCCCGGGCUCAACCUGGGACCUGCAUUUGUGACUGUAUAGCUAGAGUACGGCAGAGGGGGAUGGAAUUCCGCGUGUAGCAGUGAAAUGCGUAGAUAUGCGGAGGAACACCGAUGGCGAAGGCAAUCCCCUGGGCCUGUACUGACGCUCAUGCACGAAAGCGUGGGGAGCAAACAGGAUUAGAUACCCUGGUAGUC